rnacentral:rRNA from 1 species
ACAGCAGCCGCCGCGGGAAUACAGAGGGUGCGAGCGUUAAUCGGAUUUACUGGGCGUAAAGCGUGCGUAGGCGGCUAAUUGAGUCGGAUGUGAAAUCCCCGAGCUUAACUUGGGAAUUGCAUUCGAUACUGGUUAGCUAGAGUGUGGGAGAGGAUGGUAGAAUUCCAGGUGUAGCGGUGAAAUGCGUAGAGAUCUGGAGGAAUACCGAUGGCGAAGGCAGCCAUCUGGCCUAACACUGACGCUGAGGUACGAAAGCAUGGGGAGCAAACAGGAUUAGAUACCCCAGUAGUCCCUGUCUCUUAUAC